AUCGAACGCUGGCGGCAUGCCUUACACAUGCAAGUCGAACGGUAACGCGGGGCAACCUGGCGACGAGUGGCGAACGGGUGAGUAACGCAUCGGAACGUGCCCAACAGUGGGGGAUAGCCCGGCGAAAGCCGGAUUAAUACCGCAUACGACCUGAGGGUGAAAGCGGGGGAUCGCAAGACCUCGCGCUGAUGGAGCGGCCGAUGUCAGAUUAGGUUGUUGGGGGGGUAAAGGCCUACCAAGCCGACGAUCUGUAGCUGUACUGUGAGGACGACCAGCCACACGGGGACUGGGAAACGGCCCAGACUCCUACGGGAGGCAGCAUUGGGGAAUUUUGGACAAUGGGGGAAACCCUGAUCCAGCCAUGCCGCGUGCGGGAAGAAGGCCUUCGGGUUGUAAACCGCUUUUGUCGGGGAAGAAAUCCUCUGGGCUAAUACCCCGGGGGGAUGACGGUACCCGAAGAAUAAGCACCGGCUAACUACGUGCCAGCCGCCGCGGUAAAAC
rnacentral:rRNA from 1 species